AGGAGCUCGGGGUGGAUGGAGGUCCAGCUGACAUCCACUACAGGGUUCAUGGAACAAAAUGAGGAACCUGGACCCGAACAUGAUCAGAACCGAAGCCAGAUCCUGAACCAGAACUUCAGCCUGAAUCUAAGCAGAUCAUGAGCCAGAACCUGACCAGAUUCUGAACCAGAACUUGACCCCAACCUGAGCCAGAACCAGAGACAGGAAACAGUCACCACCGGAGGAGACAGAAGUCAACAUCUCAACAGGUUUAAUGUAACCUGGUCUACAACCUGACAAAACCAGAACCAGAGCAAACUCAGAACCAGGACAAAACUGAACCAGACCUAAGGAACAGCUUCAUAAUACUGCAGUCAACAAAGGAAAUCAAAACAAAACAGAACCAGGACAGAACUAAACCAGAACCAGGACAAAACUAAACCAGACCCAGGACAAAACCAGAUCCAGAACAAAACCAGAACCAGGACAAAACUAAACCAGAACCAGGACAAAACCGGAUCCAUAACAAAACCAGAACCAGGACAAAACUAAACCAGAACCAGGACAAAACCAGAUCCAUAACAAAACCAGAACCAGGACAAAACUAAACUAAAACCAUGACAAAAUCAGAACCAAAACAAAACCAGACCCAGGACAAAACUAAACCAGAACCAGAACAAAACAAAACCGGAGCCAACAGAAAACAAAAGCAGAACAUGGCAAAGUAGAACCAGGACUAAACGGAACCAAAAUAGAUACAGAACCGGGACGGAACCGACUCAGCACCAAGACAACUACUUGUCUCGAAAUAUCUCACUUGGGCUCCAAUCUCCAGCUGCGCUAAAGUUUGAAAGUUUACAGAUUAAAAGUGCGCACCUUCCGACAGUGUGAGACAGAACCGGUCGGAACCAGAGGUCCUGGACCGACACUGUGGUUCUGGAAUGACCUGGGCAGACCGGGGAUCCUCCGGAGCAGCAGCCGCUGGACGAGCUUCCUCCUGCGGACUCACAGCAGCAGUAGCUCCGCUGUCGAUCAGGAAAACACAGUCCAAAAGUGUCCCCUCAGAACCCGGCCUGAUCCGAGCUGCAGGAGGUCCGGUCGGGUCCGGUUCGUGCGGUGUGCUCGGUGUGUGUCCCGGUGAACAGGGCGGUGCAGCGCGGAGCAGCUGUCGGUCUGAGCGGAGCAGAGAGUCUGAGUGAACGGAGACGGAAAGUUCCCGCGAAUCAGCGCCGCUGCUGUCAGUGUAAAAGAUCCGCAGAGAUUUUCUGACUGAAGACUCAGAGAGUCAGUGUGAAGUUGUGGCCUCAGUUCUGAAGUCCAAUCCCUCCCAUCUGGAACAUCUGGACCUCAGUGUCAACAAGCUGCAGGAUUCAGGAGUGAAACAUCUGAGUGGUUUUCUGGAGAGUCCAGACUACAGCCUGAAGACUCUGAGAUUGGAGUUCUGCAGUUUGUCAGAGAUCAGCUGUGAUUCUCUGGUCUCAGCUCUGAAGUCCAACCCCUCCCAUCUGGAACAUCUGGACCUGAGCAGGAAUGACCUAAAGGAUUCAGGAGUGAAACAUCUAUGGGGUUUUCUGGAGAGUCCACUGAGGCCAGUAGAAGGUCCCAGUCAGUCCUGUCUGCAGUCAUAUCUGGAUCUGUGUCCUUGUGUCUGGUUUGUUCCAACAGCUGCGUUCAGAUCAGUGAAAUGCUCCAUGGUCCCAUGAUUCAGUCCAACACACUUUGCAGCAUCAGUCUUUGUAUGAUCAGUAGCUCACGGUCCCUCGUGUCCAAGUUAACAAGCUUUAGAUAGAAACUGUGGAACAAGUUACUCAAUCACUUCACUGAAUCUGUCCACCAUGUUUCAAAAACUACUUUUAAGUCUUUUGUAAA